UACGUAGGCAGCGAGCGUUGUUCGGAAUUACUGGGCGUAAAGAGUGUGUAGGCGGUGCUCUAAGUUCGGUGUGAAAUCUCCUGCUUAACUGGGAGGGUGCGCCGGAAACUGGAGUGCUCGAGCGUGGGAGAGGAAAGCGGAAUUCCUGGUGUAGCGGUGAAAUGACGUAGAUAUCAGGAGGAACACCUGUGGUGUAGACGGCUUUCUGGACCAUAGCUGACGCUGAGACACGAAAGCGUGGGUAGCAAACAGG
rnacentral:rRNA from 1 species